rnacentral:rRNA from 1 species
GAUGAACGCUGGCGGCGUGCCUAAUACAUGCAAGUCGAGCGAACAGACGAGGAGCUUGCUCCUCUGACGUUAGCGGCGGACGGGUGAGUAACACGUGGAUAACCUACCUAUAAGACUGGGAUAACUUCGGGAAACCGGAGCUAAUACCGGAUAAUAUAUUGAACCGCAUGGUUCAAUAGUGAAAGACGGUUUUGCUGUCACUUAUAGAUGGACCCGCGCCGCAUUAGCUAGUUGGUAAGGUAACGGCUUACCAAGGCAACGAUGCGUAGCCGACCUGAGAGGGUGAUCGGCCACACUGGAACUGAGACACGGUCCAGACUCCUACGGGAGGCAGCAGUAGGGAAUCUUCCGCAAUGGGCGAAAGCCUGACGGAGCAACGCCGCGUGAGUGAUGAAGGUCUUCGGAUCGUAAAACUCUGUUAUUAGGGAAGAACAAAUGUGUAAGUAACUAUGCACGUCUUGACGAUACCUACUCGGAAAGCCACGGCUAACUACGUG